AGUGAACGCUGGCGGUAGGCCUAACACAUGCAAGUCGAACGGCAGCACAGGAGAGCUUGCUCUCUGGGUGGCGAGUGGCGGACGGGUGAGGAAUACAUCGGAAUCUACUCUGUCGUGGGGGAUAACGUAGGGAAACUUACGCUAAUACCGCAUACGACCUACGGGUGAAAGCAGGGGAUCUUCGGACCUUGCGCGAUUGAAUGAGCCGAUGUCGGAUUAGCUAGUUGGCGGGGUAAAGGCCCACCAAGGCGACGAUCCGUAGCUGGUCUGAGAGGAUGAUCAGCCACACUGGAACUGAGACACGGGCCGGACUCCUACGGGAGGCAGCAGUGGGGAAUAUUGGACAAUGGGCGCAAGCCUGAUCCAGCCAUACCGCGUGGGUGAAGAAGGCCUUCGGGUUGUAAAGCCCUUUUGUUGGGAAAGAAAUCCAGCUGGCUAAUACCCGGUUGGGAUGACGGUACCCAAAGAAUAAGCACCGGCUAACUUCGUGCCAGCCGCCGCCGUAA
rnacentral:rRNA from 1 species